AUUGAACGCUAGCGGGAUGCUUUACACAUGCAAGUCGAACGAGUGGCGGACGGGUGAGUAAUAUAUCGGAAGUGCCUAGUAGCGGGGGAUAACUACUGGAAACGGUAGCUAAUAACGCAUACUAUCGGAUAACCCAUAUGGGAUUAGCUAGUAGUGGAGGUAAUGGCUCACCUAGGCGACGAUCCCUAGCUGGGCUGAGAGGAUGAUCAGCCACACUGGAACUGAGAAACGGCCCAGAUGCCUACGGAGGCAGCAGUGGGGAAUAUUGCACAAUGGGCGCAAGCCUGAUGCAGCCAUGCCGCGUGUGUGAAGAAGGCCCUAGGGUUGUAAAGGACUUUCAGUCGGGAGGCGUUACCGACAGAAGAAGCACCGGCUAACUCCGUGCCAGCCGCCGCGGUAAUAC
rnacentral:rRNA from 1 species